GUCAACGGCUGACCAUCGAAGGGCCGAGCCGCUUGAGUCUGGAAUCGGCAGGACAGAUAAAGUAUAACCCGAGUUGGAUAGUGGUGGUCGUUUGAGGUGGUUGGCGGUUGUUGGAGGUGGUCGAAGGUGGACGAGAAGGAGGACGAGGAGGACGAGGAUUUGUGCUCGGUAUAACCCGAGGUGGAUAGUGGUGGUCGUUUGAGGUGGUUGGCGGUUGUUGGAGG
rnacentral:lncRNA from 1 species